UCUCUUUGAUACAAAUUCACAUUGCCGUUAAGGUUUAGUCAGAAGAACUUUGUGUAGUAACCCAUUGGUAGUAACUAGGCUUCUGUCAUAUGUUUAAUGGCCGGCCCACUUCCCAGACUAUCUACCAUUUAAAUGUAUGUGUGUCAAAAUAUCAUGGAAAAUCUCAUGUGAAGUGUGCUUAAAGUUGUUAGUCUUCUAGCGCACCAUGAUGAUCUUCAGGUACAAUCCGUAUUCAGCUCUCAGUUUUAGCAGCUGCGAGACAGAACCAUGUGAGCUCUUCUUCUGCAUGUCCCACUCUUGCAAAGCCCAUUUUUCUGAAGAUAAUUUCAUCACUAUCACUUCUCAGCUUCUUUAAAUCCUAUUCACAAUGAUCACUUAACAUGAAACAUUUUUGAAGUCGUUAGAUUUAUAAGCCGUUUGUAUAUUACUCAACCCUGUCUCUCUCUUUAUUAUUGUUUAAAAAGUGGUUUCAGAGAAAGGAAAAUGAAUGCAAGUAAAUUACAUUUAUUUUUAUUCUGACGCUGCCUGAAUACUGAACUAUUUUCCUUCCAACAUUACAAUCCAGGGGAACUUUCACAACAUGCUAUUUAACAAGUAAUUUUUAUUUGUUGACCAACCCAGUAAUCCUAUAAUUCUAUGAAUAAUUGUCGCAUUUCAUAACAGCCUAGCUUACAUUUAAACCAAAAUAAAAAAAAUCUAAGAAACUAACAUAAUCAAGGUCAACGCAUAAUGGCGUGUUAACUCCCUUCUAACAAUCUAAGACAAAUGAUUUAACAGAAAAUGAUCCAAAUAUUCUCUCUUUUUCUUCUCCCUCUGAUCUCAGUCUUAAUCCAAAUCCAAUGCCUCACCGUUCAGUCACAACCGGUGCCGUUAAAACAAAUAUGCUCAAACGUCACAGGCAACUUCACCGUUAACACCCCUUACGCCGUCAACCUCAACCGUCUCAUCUCUUCUCUAUCAUCUCUCCGGCAUAACGACAACGGAUUCUACAACAUCUCACUCGGAGACUCAGAUGGAAAAGUCAACUCAAUCUUACACUGUAGAGGCGACGUCAAACCUGAAGAUUGCACCAACUGUCUCGCAAUGGCUGGAAAAAGACUUGUCACAUUGUGUCCGGUUCAGAAAGAGGCGGUUAUCUGGUACGACAAAUGUACGGUUAGGUACUCGAACCGGACGCUUUUCAAAAUACUUGAGAUUUAUCCUCAAACAAGCAUCUCCGGGACAAGAAACUUCACAGGAGAUCGCGACCGUUGGGAGAAAUCAUUAAGGGGUUUACUCGAAGGGCUUAAAGACAGAGUAUCCGUGAUUGGUCGGAGAAGGAAGAACUUUGUGGUCGGAGAAACGAACGGGCCAUCGUUUCAGACAUUGUACGGGAUGGUCCAGUGCACGGCGGAUAUAUCGGAACAAGAUUGCACGUAUUGUUUAUCUCAGGGUAUCGCAAAGAUUCCGAGCUGUUGUGAUAUGAAAAUGGGUAGUUAUGUCUUGUCUCCUAGCUGUAUGGUGGCUUAUGCUCCAUGGAGAUUCUAUGAUCCAGUGGACACCACUAAUGAGCCAAGCUCAGUGCCUGCUACGCCGCCAACUGGGACUCAACGGAAUGAGACGACAAGUGUUGAACAAGGGGAUAAAAACAGAGGUGUACCUCAUAAAGCUUUGAUCUUUGCUGCUGUUUCAGCUGCUGUUUUUGUCUUAUUUAUCGCAUUCUUAGUCGUUUACCUAAGAUCGAGGAAGAAGAAAUUAAAGAGGAGGACAACUAGCGAAGAGCGAAACCUUGAAGACAUUAGCACAGAUUCAAUGAGAUUUGAUUUCACUAUGUUACAAGAAGCCACAAGUCAUUUUUCAGUGGAAAACAAACUUGGAGAAGGAGGAUUUGGAGCAGUUUAUAAGGGUGUGCUUUCGGAUGGACAAGAAAUAGCGGUGAAAAGGUUGUCGGAAAAUGCACAACAAGGAGAAAUCGAAUUUAAGAACGAGUUCUUAUUGGUGGCAAAGCUUCAACAUCGUAACCUCGUCAAGCUCUUAGGCUACUCAAUAGAUGGAACUGAAAGGCUUCUCGUCUACGAGUACCUCCCACACACCAGUCUCGACAAGUUCAUCUUCGGUACCAAAUUUAUUCACUAUCACCAAUUUCUUGGAUGCUUAUUCUUGUUCUUUCUCACGUGUUUGAGUAUGUUUACAGAUCCUAUCCAUGGUAAGGAACUGGAUUGGGAAGUUAGAUACAAAAUUAUUGGAGGUGUAGCUAGGGGGCUUCUUUAUCUUCAUCAAGACUCUCGUCUCCGGAUCAUUCACCGUGAUCUUAAAGCUAGUAACAUACUGCUAGACGAGGAAAUGACCCCGAAAAUUGCAGAUUUCGGACUGGCAAGGCUAUUUGAUAUCGACCACACUACUCAACGCUACACGAAUAAGUGGAUAUAUGGCUCCGGAGUAUGUAAUGCACGGACAGUUCUCGUUUAAAACAGAUGUUUACAGUUUCGGUGUUUUGGUUCUUGAGAUCAUCAGUGGUAAGAAAAACAGCUGUUUCAGCGAUGAGGACAGCAUGGAAGGCCUCCUUACCUUCGCAUGGAAAAAUUGGAAGGAAGGUAUUGCCUUGAAUCUUGUGGACAAGGUUUUGAUGACAAUGUCAAGUCAUUCAUCGAACAUGAUC